GCACAGUGUUGAUAGUGCUGCUCAUGUUAUAUAGAUUAAGCAUUACUUGUGGUGCAGUGACCUAACCAUUAGUGUGUGCGUUCAGGUGCUUAGUACUAUGGUAAGAGACAAUGAGUGUGCUCUGGGAAACCUGUUAGGCUUCAUGAGAAAGACAGACUUAUAAUAUAGGAGCACCCCGAGACCCCAGCGACAGGCGUUUGAGUUCCGAUGCCC